rnacentral:lncRNA from 1 species
CCUUUUGAGCCUGUUCCCUCUUCAAAAUAGGGCCAAGACCACCAUCUCAUAGAGUUAUUGUGAGGUUACAUGAGGAAAGAGGUCUGUAAUGCUCCAAGCACAGUACUGGGCACAUUGUAAGUGCUCAGCAAGUUUAGUUCUCCGCCUCCUCUCUUCACAUCAUGUUCUCGGCUUUUCUGUAGACACCCGUAACACAGUGACAUUGUGCAGGGCUCUCUGACCCUUCUCUGAUGGGUCCUAGAGCAGUGCUCCUGGACUUCCUGUGUCUACUUUUCACAUUUUCUGUGUCCUCGCCCACACACUUCUCACUGCUGCCAUCACCCACUCUCCUUUCCUGUGAUAAUCCCAUGAGUUUACAGAACAGAUAACAGCUUCCUAACUGUUCCACAUUAAUUCACUUAAUCUUCAUAAAACCUUAUCAUCCAGGUACUGUUAUUUUCAUUUUAUAGUUAAAAAGCUGAGGCACAGGAAUGUGAAUGCGAAAUGACUUCUUAAGGACACGUUGCUAGUAAGUGGAGGAGUGGCUAAGACUCAGGCAACAUGGUUCCAGAGGCUGUGUUCCUAACCACACAUCAUACCACCUCUGAGAGCCCAGAACCCCAACUAAUAGACAGUGUACAAAGAGUUUAUAGACUGAAGACUGGAGAUCAUGUCUCUUUUAUUAAUAUUUUCUUUCAGACCAAACUUUCAAAAUGCAACAGUGAGGAGCUGUGUGGCCAGUUGGGGUUAAGUGUCACCUUCCAAAGCAGAUUAUUUGAGACAAGGACAAAAUACUAAAUGCAGAGAUAUUCAAGGCAAGAAAGUCUAGUGAUUGUAUUUCAUCCUCUGGAGGUUUCUUUUAGAUAAAAAUACGGAUUGAUAAAAAGAAUGGACAGAUUCUUCUCCCCAAAUAGGAUGACGUAAAUGGUGAUUCUUAAAAUUUUUUGAUCAAUAGGUCCCACUGAGAAUCUGAUGAAUACAGAUUCCCUUUCCAGGAAAAUACAUGUUUAACCUUUCUUUUUUUUUUUUUUUUAAAGAGAUGAGGUCUUACUCUGAUGCCUAGGCCAGAGUAGCAGUCGCACUAUCAUGGCUCACUGUAGCCUUGAACUCCUGGGCUCAAGUGAUCACUUUGCCUCAGCCUCAACAGUAGCUGGGACUACAGGCAAGUACCAGCAUGCCUGGCUAAUGAAAAGUUUUAUUUUUUAUUUAUUUAUUUUUUUAGAGACAGGGUCUUGGUAUGUGGUCAGGGCUGGUCUUGAACUUCUGGCCUCAAGCAAUCCUCCUGCCUUUGCCUCCCAAAGUGAUGUUUAACUUUUUAUGUACAACUGUAGAGGAUUCCAAGAUCCGUUCUUGAAUAUAAAAUUUAGAGAUUCUUGGCCGGGCGCCGUGGCUCACGCCUGUAACCCUGGCACUUUGGGAGGCUGAGGUGGGCCGAUUACCUGAGGUCAGGAGUUCUAGACCAGCCUGGCCAACAUGGUGAAACCCUGUCUCUACUAAAAAUACAAAAAUUAGCUGGGCAUGGUGGCACAUGCCUGUAAUCCCAGCUACUUGAGAGGCUGAGGCAGGAGAACUGCUUGAGCCCAGGAGAUGGAGGUUGCAGUGAGCCGAGAUCGUGCCACUGCACUCUAGCCUGAGCGACAGAGCGAGACUCUGUCUCAAAAAAAAAAAAAAAAAAAAAAAAAAAUUAGAGAUUCUUUGUAGACAAGCAGUGGAAAAUUAGAGUUAGCACUUUAAGUCCUGACCCUUCUACUGACAUGCUGUGUGAUUUUAGGCAAGCCACUAUCCUCUAAGCCCCUUGUGCAAAAAUGGAAUCAUCAUCUCUGCCCUGCUUCCCUCAUAGCGGGAGACUAUUAUGAUGUGUGAAAGGUGUGUCCAAUUGCAAAGUGCUAUCAGAAUGUUGUAAGGACACUGAGGUUCAGAGAGGUUACUUACCUUAAGGUCACGCAGCUACUAAGUGGCAGAAGAGAGGUUCAACUUGGAAGACACUGAAGUCUCUGGAAUGUGUGUGUAUGUGGCUGUGGUUAUAUGUAUGUGAAGAUCUCUCUUCCUCUAAGAAUUUUAAAAAGGAUCAAAAGAGAAAAUACAGGUGAAAGGGUUACACAGACUAUAAUGUGCAAUGCCUAUAUGAGUUACUCCUGGACUGAACUAAAGACUCCAAGUCCCAUCCACUUGUGGGGACCCAGGACUGGAUGGCUAAGGGACAGAAAAGGAUGGGUAGAAAUGUGUCAAUCAGUGAUGCUGUUGUGGAGAGAAUUAAGACCCUCUCCCACAUUCAAAUGAAAAAGUCUAUACUUUGGGGGAAAUUUGCCAGAGCUCUCCACCUCUUAAAAACCUAUUCUACUGACCAGCACACUUAGAUGUUAUUAUGUGACUAAUAUGUUUCUAAUGUCAGCAGCAAGUAAAAUCUAUAAAAGCAUAAAUCUUACUCUCUUAUGUUAAAAAGGUAGAUUCCAUAAAAGAUGCUCUCAUUCAUCUUUGAUUCUGGAUGCUUACAAUCCAGAGAUGAACAUCUGUGUGUGCUAUAAAACUAGUAGUGCCAGAGAAUGGCAACAUCCGAAAUCAGAAACCUCCAAAAAAAUCCCUGCACCUUCUUAAAGGCAAUGGGAAAUUGGCAACACUUCCUUUAACUUUCAAACUAAUGCUGCAACUGCACAUCCAGCAGUCCAAGAACACAAGGGAGUAAACUGGAAUGGGGGAUGACAAAGAGUCCUGGAGCUUCACUGUCAACAGUUGGGCAUAAGAAUGCCAAGCAAAUAUUCAGACUGACUCACUUACUGGGCCUGGAGGCUGGGAUGUAAAGCCCAAGGAAGCCUAAUGGUAGGAGGAAGAACUGCAGAGGACACUGCUAUUUCUGUGGUGAUGGGAAGUCAUUUUAAUGCUCUGCUUGUAUGAAAAGGAUAAAAUUGCUUUGGCCUUUUGUCUGAAGCUUAGUAGACCAUCAUGUCCUGAGUGAACAGUGACAAUUAGCUGAGGCCUUUCCCAGUUAUGAGGCCUAGAGCAUAGGAAAUCAUGGGGCUGAGUAGGCCAAAAGAACUUUCUAAGGCAGGUUGAAAAAGGUUGUAUCAACUUCACACACAUUCAAGUAGCAUUUAAUAACUUCCAUGAAAUUGGCUUUAGAGUAAAGUCUAUAUUGUUGUAAUACAGAAGUGAAGGUGAAUUCAGAGUACCUUCCCUCAAACCCCACCCAC